GAGAGGAAGCUUGCUUCCUCAAUCGAGUGGCGAACGGGUGAGUAACGCGUGAGGAACCUGCCUCAAAGAGGGGGACAACAGUUGGAAACGACUGCUAAUACCGCAUAAGCCCACAGCUCGGCAUCGAGCAGAGGGAAAAGGAGCAAUCCGCUUUGAGAUGGCCUCGCGUCCGAUUAGCUAGUUGGUGAGGUAACGGCCCACCAAGGCGACGAUCGGUAGCCGGACUGAGAGGUUGAACGGCCACAUUGGGACUGAGACACGGCCCAGACUCCUACGGGAGGCAGCAGUGGGGAAUAUUGCACAAUGGGGGAAACCCUGAUGCAGCGACGCCGCGUGGAGGAAGAAGGUCUUCGGAUUGUAAACUCCUGUUGUUGAGGAAGAUAAUGACGGUACUCAACAAGGAAGUGACGGCUAACUACGUGCCAGCAGCCGCGGUAAAACGUAGGUCACAAGCGUUGUCCGGAAUUACUGGGUGUAAAGGGAGCGCAGGCGGGAAGACAAGUUGGAAGUGAAAUCUAUGGGCUCAACCCAUAAACUGCUUUCAAAACUGUUUUUCUUGAGUAGUGCAGAGGUAGGCGGAAUUCCCGGUGUAGCGGUGGAAUGCGUAGAUAUCGGGAGGAACACCAGUGGCGAAGGCGGCCUACUGG
rnacentral:rRNA from 1 species